rnacentral:rRNA from 1 species
CGGCGAACGGGUGAGUAACACGUGGGUGAUCUGCCCUGCACUUCGGGAUAAGCCUGGGAAACUGGGUCUAAUACCGGAUAUGACCUCCUAUCGCAUGGUGGGUGGUGGAAAGAUUUAUCGGUGCAGGAUGGGCCCGCGGCCUAUCAGCUUGUUGGUGGGGUAAUGGCCUACCAAGGCGACGACGGGUAGCCGACCUGAGAGGGUGACCGGCCACACUGGGACUGAGACACGGCCCAGACUCCUACGGGAGGCAGCAGUGGGGAAUAUUGCACAAUGGGCGAAAGCCUGAUGCAGCGACGCCGCGUGAGGGAUGACGGCCUUCGGGUUGUAAACCUCUUUCAGCAGGGACGAAGCGCAAGUGACGGUACCUGCAGAAGAAGCACCGGCUAACUACGUGCCAGCAGCCGCGGUAAUACGUAGGGUGCGAGCGUUGUCCGGAAUUACUGGGCGUAAAGAGUUCGUAGGCGGUUUGUCGCGUCGUUUGUGAAAACCAGCAGCUCAACUGCUGGCUUGCAGGCGAUACGGGCAGACUUGAGUACUGCAGGGGAGACUGGAAUUCCUGGUGUAGCGGUGAAAUGCGGAGAUAUCAGGAGGAACACCGGUGGCGAAGGCGGGUCUCUGGGCAGUAACUGACGCUGAGGAACGAAAGCGUGGGUAGCGAACAGGAUUAGAUACCCUGGUAGUCCACGCCGUAAACGGUGGGCGCU